UCAAAAUAAUGAUCUUCAAUGCAAUUAAUAUCUAAUAAAAGAAAAAGAAAAGAACAUCCUUAAUAUCUAAUAGUCCACGUUUAGCUUCUUGUCUAUGCUUGAGAAUGUCUGGUAGAAUGCCUUGAAAUGCUUGUAAGCAAUGUCGACAU